rnacentral:misc_RNA from 1 species
CACAUAUAGAUAGCAGGACUAUAGUCCAGCCUGUCUAGAUGAGGAAGACACGAUUAUCCGGUAUUGGGCAAUGACGAACUAUUAAUCACAGUUUUCAACUACACUAACAGUACCGAGAUGGCGACCCCUUCAGCACCGGAAAUAGUUUCCUGCCCUUCCCAUCCAGGAGAAGAAAUCGUUUUCAUCUGUUCCGGUUGUGGUGAUAUGUUUGCGUGCAGUCUGUGUGUAACUAGUGUCCACCGAGGACAUAUACUUAACGGCGUUCAAGAAACGGCAAAGUCAUUAAAGGAACAGAUAUCCGAGCUUGUAAGCACUCGUUCAGCGGAUGCAGAAUCGGUUGCUAAGAGAUUAGACGACAUCAACGUAGAUUACGAUCAGACGACGGACAAUCUGAGAAACUUAAUAGUCGAGGUAAAACUACGAAGGGAAAUGGUCAAGGUCAUGGUCGACGAGGUUGCAGAAAAGGUACUACAACGCAUACAGGACCUCUUAGACGACAACGAGGCUAACGUGACUGACUACAGAACAACGCUACACGAUCUUGAGAAACAGUUACAUUACCUAACGAAAGACAAAAAUGAGUCUGUUCUUCUCUACGGUGAUGCAACUGAUAUCAUCAACUACUACAAAGAGUUGGCACUUCCACCAAAUUUUCCUAGAUUUCUUCCCUUUAGACGGGCAAAAUUCACUUCUACCGACCUUGCAAUGGACGAUCUUAGACCAAAGUUCGGAUCCUUUGCAGAGAAUAAAAUUGAAAGAAGAGAAAGCGCACACGACCCUCCUCCAAGACCACCAAGGACCAAACCAGAAAUAGAAUCAUCGGUUCCAUUGGUUGUUCCACGAGUAGAAUUAAAUCAGCUAAGAAAAGUUCAAUCGGAACGACGUGCCCCAAAGAAAUCUGCAAAGAACAAUAACUCUGAACAACAGUCGCUAGGGGUCACAACAUCGAAGCGUCAUUCUUCAACGAGUUUUGAUUUUCAUCAUCUGGAUUCGCCAAAGAACGUUUCGCCUGACCUAAAAAUAAUGGCAAAUAUCCCAGAAGAGUCAACAUUCAGGAUACGGUCCUUGAGUUACGACAAAAGAAAGUUCGUCAUCUCAUACAUAAGUGACCGACGUCUCAUUUUUGUUAACGAGAAAGGAGAAAAAACCAGGAAGGUUCGGGUCAUGUCUAAUAUCAUGGAUGUUUGUGUUUCACCUCUUACCGGGUAUGCUUGGAUUUGUUGUGAAGACCACUCAGUAACGGAGAUCGAACAAAAGACGAGGGUGAUAAGAUUCAAAACCAAGUCUUUGCCUCUGUGUAUUUGUGCACAACAGAGUGGGGCUUUUCUUAUCGGCGUCACCAACGAUAUCAUUCAGUGUAAUGACACUGGGAAGGAACUCCUUCGUACCAAAUGGCUGGGUGGACGCUCAUCUGUGGUGUACCCUAGGGUCAUCCGGGAGAGUCCAUGCUCUAGGGAGAUAGCGGCGAGCUACGGGUAUGAGAUGGAACGGCCAUUGAAGGUCACGCUUUUUGACAGCGAACUCAAUAUAAAAUUCCAGUUCCCUACUGACCAAAUUCCACAAGAGGAUUUCGGUCCAGUGGAUAUUUGCUUCACUCCAGAUGGACAGCUUCUGAUAUUGGAUAAUGCAGCAAAUAAACUUGUGUGGUUAGGACGACAGGGCGCGGUUCUAAAGGAGACAAUCCUACACCAGUAUCACCCGUCGGUGAUGGCCCUUGGACCGGGCAAUCAACUCUGUUUGGUCCACCAAUCAAUGACAUCACAAAUAUUGACCACGGACAUUCCCCAGAGCGGACGAAAUGAAUAUACUUAUUGCAUGUUCUAAGAAUGGAUGAGAAAUGUAUUAGUACUGUGAUACAAUCAUACAUAAUUUGAACAAAAUAUACGAAUAACUGUUUACCAAAUGGUCCGAGUAGCAUAUACAUUGCGUAAUGUAACUUCACAGGUAGAAGAGGCCGUUAUGUUACAACAUAUUCACAGGUAGAAGAGGCCGUUAUGUUACUACAUGUUCACAGGUAGAAGAGGCCGUUAUGUAACUACAUAUUCACAGGUAGAAGAGGCCAUUUACUUACUACAUAUUCACAGGUAGAAGAGGCCGUUAUGUUACUACAUAUUCACAGGUAGAAAAGGCCGUUAUGUUACUACAUAUUCACAGGUAGAAGAGGCCGUUAUGUUACUACAUAUUCACAGGUAGAAGAGGCCGUUAUGUUACUACUUAUUCACAGGAAGAAGAGGACGUUAUGUUACUACAUAUUCACAGGUAGAAGAGGCCGUUAUGUUACUACAUAUGAAAAGAAGAGAGAGAGAGACAAUAAACUUUGUUAUAUAAUUUGGUAGUGGGUGAUUCUUAUUGUCAUAUUGUAGGCCAAUACGACAUAGUGAGGAAGAAGAUGAAUCUGUACUUUAUAUGUAAAAUACUUUGGGUUUUGGUCUAUAUAUCUAUAGACCAAUUUAUUAUCAGGCCAUUCCGCCGCAACUAGACGCGGGUAAGCCGGUGUUCUUCACUAGUUUAACGGAUGAUGUUUGGAACUUUGACAUGGUUUCUUCUUUUUAAUAGGAAGGUCGGACAUCUGUUUGGGGCUGAACCACACGUUCGUCACCUGAAGUUGUUGGCACUGUUUCUGUUCAGGUGCUGGUUGGCGUCUUCGGCAGAAAUAAAUAAAUAAAUAUUUUUUGCAACCUUCUGCAUAAUCCAAAUGAAAUGACGUAUUUGGGGUAAGCACAUGAACUUGAGGAUGUUAAUUUGUAGCGAAAACAGUCAGAUUGGUGAUUGCAAUGCCUGAUUUAGGUCGUUUAUCAGACAAAUAACCAGUGAAGCGUAUGUACAAAAAGGUGUAAGUCAUAUUUCAUAUAACAAGAAUUGAUGUUUUUCAAAACAAUUCUUCGUUCGUACAUAAAUAGUCGUGUUUCAUAACAAGUGAACCGUAUUUUACGUAACCCAUCGUAGUAUUUUCAUUACAAUAUCUCGUGUGUUUCACAUACUAUUAAAGUGGAAAAUGCCGCGAUUGAAAAUGUUAGUGUUGUGGUUCUUUAAACUGAUAGCGGGGUAGAAAUUUUCGCGUUAAAAAUAGUUCUGACAUCUAUAUACCCUAUAUAUCUAUAAUCUCUAUAACCAUCAAUUCAAUAUUCGCUUGUGGAUAUUGUCGCGCUAAUUGAGUCAACGUGAAGGACGCUAGAAAGUUCACACCGUGGAAAUUUCCACUUUUACAGUAAGUGUUUGCUAAUCACGUGCUCGUUAAUAUCGUUAAUGUCAAUAUUAUUAGGUAUU